AGUGAACGCUGGCGGCGUGCCUAAUACAUGCAAGUCGAACGGAAUUUAAAAGAGCUUGCUCUUUUAAAUUUAGUGGCGCACGGGUGAGUAAUAUAUAGCUAAUCUGCCCCUUGCUGGAGGACAACAGUUAGAAAUGACUGCUAAUACUCCAUACUCCUUUUUACCAUAAGAUAAAUCGGGAAAGAAUUUCGGCAAGGGAUGAGACUAUAUCGUAUCAGCUAGUCGGUGGGGUAACGGCCUACCGAGGCUAUGACGCGUAACUGGUCUGAGAGGAUGAUCAGUCACAUUGGAACUGAGACACGGUCCAAACUCCUACGGGAGGCAGCAGUAGGGAAUAUUGCGCAAUGGGGGAAACCCUGACGCAGCAACGCCGCGUGGAGGAUGACACUUUUCGGAGCGUAAACUCCUUUUGUUAGGGAAGAAUAAUGACGGACCUAACGAAUAAGCCCG
rnacentral:rRNA from 1 species